rnacentral:rRNA from 1 species
GACGAACGCUGGCGGCGUGCUUAACACAUGCAAGUCGUACGGUAAGGCCCUUUCGGGGGUACACGAGUGGCGCACGGGUGAGUAACACGUGAGUAACCUGCCCACAACUUUGGGAUAACGCUAGGAAACUGGUGCUAAUACUGGAUAUGUGCUCCUGCUGCAUGGUGGGGGUUGGAAAGCUCCGGCGGUUGUGGAUGGACUCGCGGCCUAUCAGCUUGUUGGUGGGGUAGUGGCCUACCAAGGCGGCGACGGGUAGCCGGCCUGAGAGGGUGACCGGCCACAUUGGGACUGAGAUACGGCCCAGACUCCGACGGGAGGCAGCAGUGGGGAAUAUUGCACAAUGGGCGCAAGCCGGAUGCAGCAACGCCGCGUGCGGGAUGACGGCCUUCGGGUUGUAAACCGCUUUCAGCAGGGACGAAGCUUUUUGUGACGGUACCUGCAGAAGAAGCACCGGCUAACUACGUG